UGCACACGUCAUCCUCUGCAGCCCCUAGAACCGUCCUGGGAAGGAUGGGGAGCAGGGAGCCCAAUAGGACAAGGGUCUGGCGACAAGGGCGAGAGCCGAGCAAGGAGGCCAUUGGCUGCAGGUCCACCUACCCUGGAGUUCAGGACGAGGUCCCUGGCCGCAGGGUCCUAGCUGCACAGAGGCCAGGGUCCAGCUCCCCAAGGUAGGACAAAGGCAAACAAGAGCCUAUUCGGAGUGGGUCCCCUCUGAGCAGAGCUUCUCAGGACCCUGGACGGCUGGCUCUGGGUCUGAAUAUGGUAGAGGAUAUUCUUCUUGGGGCCUGGGGGAUGGCCUCUCGGCAACCUUUUCUCCUUUGGGAAGGCAGCAAUGGGUACAGUGGGAUUUCACACAUGCAAUUAAAACGUUUCCUGGCAACAAGAGUGACUUGAGCCUCUCAGCACGCGGUCAGUGUGCAGAUAGAAAGCUGUUGGCAUCUUCGGUGAUUCAGCUUCCUUUCCAAGUCUCACCUCCCACCCCAAAACACAGUGGAAGCUCCACAGAGCUCAUCUGUUUUCUCGGUGGGGCCUGGGCUGGACACGGAGGGACAGAACGUAGCCAGUGCUCUGAGCCCAGGGCCAGGACACCCCGGGGCUGUGCUUUCAGGGCCUGCCUCCUGGUCCCUUCUAGUGGGGAGCAGGCCAGGCCCCUGGGGAUGGAGACAGAGGUGUGGCUGUGUUCAGAGAGGCUUGGCUCCCGAGAGCCCGCAGCCCCCAGCAAGCACCCCUGAACUCCAGGGUCAGGUGGGGAGGCAGGAUGAGUCAAGUCGGAUCUGUUCCUACCUCCACGCCCUUCCCCAGGCUCCUUCCUUUUGGGGGACACAAGACUUUGCUGUUUACCACCCGCUUUUCUAGCCCCUGCUGCCUGCAACGGAGCCCCAACAGUGUGAGCUCCAGUGUGAGCCCAGACAGUGUGACUCCAGCUCUAACUCUGUCCCCAUCAGCCGUGUGAUGGUGACCUGGGUCCUCGCACCUUCACCACCCAGCUCCAGGGGCUCCAGGUGCUGUGGGAAACGAGGGUCCUCUGUAACGUCAACACGUCUUGAAGAUCCACGGGGGACUUUGGUGUUUGUUGUUUGAGAAAAUAACUAGAGUCAAAAGGACAUUGUAGAGGACAUUGCCAUAUUCACCUGCAAUCCCAGGGACUUGGGAGGUGAGGAAGGAGGAUCUCAAGUUCAAGACCAGCCUCAGUAACUUAGUGAGACCCCGUCUCAAAGAAAAAUAUCAAAAGGGCUGGGGAUGUCUCUUAGUGGUAGAGUGUUCCCAGGUUCAACCCCCAGUACCCAAACAGAUAGAUAAAUGAACAAGGCGUCAUGAAGCCCAGGCUUUGGGUCCUGCCGACCCUAGCUGCACCCACGUGGCACUGGAAAACGGUUAACGGAGCUCACUCCGUGUUUGGAAGACAUCUGUCGGCCGUUUGGGUUCACAGACCCCUUGUUAUGAUGCCAUUGUUCCAACCCAGGCCGGUGGCUUGCCCAGGAUGGGGUCACUGAGGUCAUGAGCGCAGUGUCCCUGAAUUCAGGGUUGCGUGACGGUCCUGUAGGUAUGUCAGAGAGCUGGCCAGCUCCUGGGGCCAGGGCUGGCGGCUGGUGGCCUUGUAGCUAGUGUAGGGAGAGUGCACGGUGUGGCUUGUUUUGGCCAUGACCCAUCCUGGGGCCCGAGGCGACCCUCCCUGAUGACAGCUGUGCUGUGGUCCCACAGAGGCAAAUCAUCAUUUGGGAGGCCAAGGUGGCGGCCAUUCAUGCAGAGGUACAUCUCACCCAGGAAAGUAGGCGGGGCCACAGGAGGGGCCAGAGCUCCAACGUGGCCUGGUGCAGAGCUGGAGGUGACCCGUGAGCUUGAGUGUCCCCGCAAGAAAGAAGCAGCAGAGGUGCAGAGACCGGAGCAGGUGGGCCGGCGGCCGUCCUCAGUCAGCAGGGCAAGGAGAAGAGCAGAAGAGGGAAGGCGUUCUUCUUUUUUCCCCUCUUAGAUGCUGACGGACCUUUACUUUAUCCAUUUAUUUGUAUGCGGUGCUGAGAAUCGAACCCAGAGCCUCACGCAGGCCAGGCAAGCACUCUACCGCUGAGCCCCAGCCCAGCCCUGGGAAGAUGGGCUUUCCUGGGAGAGCCGGACUCGAGGCCUGAGGGAAUCCCCCUGGCUCCUGGGGUGCAGGGGACAUGGUGCCACCCUCCUCGGGGCAGGCGGAUCGUAGCCCAGGUCCUGCCUGCUGCAGCUAGGCCUCCAGGAAGGCACCGGGCCUCUCCACUAGCAGCAGCCUGGAGCUCCACUCUCCCUUGGUGGGGCCUCUGGUUCUUGACCUGAGCCCUGUCCCUCCCUUGUCCCCAGGACGUGGGAGUUUUCACAGUGUAAAGCAGCCUGCCAUGCGCCUUGGAGAUGGUCCUGGUUCUGCUCCCCACCCCCAGGGAUGAAGAGAUUGGCCUUGAUUGCCCCGAAGUCCCUUGCCAUUCAGGUGACAGUCCUCUUCCAAAGAGCGUCUCUGCAGAGUUGGCACUGGUGGGCAUGGGGCCCAGACAGUGUGAGCUCCAUCUCCAACUCUGUCCCCAUCAGCUGUGUGACUGUGGGACAGUUGCUUCACCUCUCUGGGCUUCAGUUAUGUCAUAGUAAGCUUUUGUUUGUUACAAACAAAUCCAGAGGUGACUGGGAGGAUUCAAUGGCUCUGCAGAGUGCCUUGCACCUAGUAAGUCCUGGGUGAAUGACACAGCCUUGUGAAUGACAGCUACCAUGUCAAACAGCGGCAGCAGGAGGCAUGUUAUCUGACUGGUCAAAAGGACCCAUUCCAAAAAGAAACAGGUGACAGGUGAAGAGCAGACUGAGUGUGGCUGUGGCCAUCCCCCCGGGGGCUUGUUCCCUGUGACUUCAGAGUUCCUGACUCGGAAGUCCUGGGUAAAGCCCCAGAGCGUGCAUUUCCGACACAUCCUCAGGUGACGCUGAUGCUGCAGGCCAGGUGACAGCCCUGGAGAAGCACAGAUCGUAGAUUAGAUCCUAAGGAUGGUUUCCCCUUCCAAUUUGUUAGAACAGGAAUAAUGAGACAAAACACUUCUGAAAAGUGCAAGAGAAAAAUAGAGUCUACUGAUUCGUUUUCCCAAACCAGCAAUAGGCUACUUACAAAGGAGCAGAUCUCCAGGAUGCGUAUCAAUAUGGUGAGUCUAUCACCAUAGAAAUCUAAAUGUAAAAAAAGUUAUUAAGGCCCAUUUGACCCAUGAGUUAAAACCAACAUUCUGGUGUAAUGCAGAUUGAUUUCACUUCUGUCCCCAAACCUGUGAGCACCCAGAUGGUAAGACAGAUCAUUUUAACCGUCCAGACUGCAGUGAAGAAGAGCAUGUAGGAGGGGUUCAGGGGCUGGAUUUGGAUUUCGAAUCCUCUUCUGCUUGCGGUCUCCCUGUGAGCCCCAACCCCUGGGCGAGCGGCGCUGGGGUGGGGGGGCUGGCGUGGGCUGCUGGGAGGGGCAGGAGCUGCAGGGCCAGGUCAGGCUGAGGGCUCUGGCUGACGCAGGAGGAAGCCGAGCAGGAUGGGGGGGCAGCUGUUCCCGGGCUCCGGGGCGAGUUUUCCUGUUAUUCUGUUGGCUGGCCAGCUCCUAAAUUUAGUAUAGGUUAAAAACAGAACACUUCCAGUACAGAGGAGGUGAGAGGUCCCCGGGGACAGCGCACUGCGGUGGGGACUGUGGAUUCUUUUCUUCCCCAGGCUGAGGACACAAGGACCUGCCCAGGGUUCCAGGAAGCCCAGCCAGCAGCGACCCGAGCUGCCAGGCUCCCAGAUGCUCUGGAGGAUCUCGUGACUCUCAGGCGG